GGCCCCCUUGGUCAAGCGGUUAAGACACCGCCCUUUCACGGCGGUAACACGGGUUCGAAUCCCGUAGGGGUCA
rnacentral:tRNA from 1 species